GAAAUGCGAUAAGUAGUGUGAAUUGCAGAAUUCAGUGAAUCAUCGAAUCUUUGAACGCACAUUGCGCCCUUUGGUAUUCCUUAGGGCAUGCCUGUUCGAGCGUCAUUUGUAACCUCAAGCUCAGCUUGGUGUUGGGUGUCUGUCCCCGCCCCGCGCGGGGACUCGCCUCAAAAACAUUGGCGGCCGGUACGUUGGCUUCGAGCGCAGCAGAAACGCGAACUCGAGGCCCGACGGAUCGGCGACCAGAAGCUACACCCACCCAGUUUGACCUCGGAUCAGGUAGGGAUACCCGCUGAACUUAAGC
rnacentral:misc_RNA from 1 species